AAGUCGUAACAAGGUUUCCGUAGGUGAACCUGCGGAAGGAUCAUUAAAAAGUUAGGGUCCUAGUGGCCCAACCUCCAACCCUCUGUUGUUAAAACUACCUUGUUGCUUUGGCGGGACCGUUCGGUCUCCGAGCGCGUUAACCUUCGGGUUGGCGAGCGCCCGCCAGAGUCCAACCAAACUCUUGUAUUAAACCCAAGGUUCCGUCUUGAAGGUAUAAAAAUUUUUUAUAAAUUAAAAC
rnacentral:misc_RNA from 1 species